AGAGGUUGGCGGCAGACGUAUCCUUCGCCAACCGGGUCAGGUCCGGAAGGAAGCAGCCCUAACGAAUUUGAUACGGGUUGCCUGUUCCAGCCUCUCAC
rnacentral:SRP_RNA from 1 species